rnacentral:snoRNA from 1 species
CCGAGCUGUCCCCGCUCAGCUCCCAAGUGAACCCACCGCAUUUUCCUUAUAUGAUCGGGCUCCCGUUUGGUGCUGAGAGCCUGAAGUGAUUAUAGAACCGCCGGCACAGGGGAUGGGAGGCUCGGGGUCGGGCCG